CAGCCUCGCUCGUCCCAGUCUCAGAGCAGCUCCUCCACCUCCUCCGCCACCCAGGGUCCAGCCGGCAACCACCAUGGGGGGCCUCUGCUUCAUGCUGCUGACCUGCUUCAUCCUCUUUGCUCACUUUGGCCCAGCCCGGGUCCAGGGUGUAGACUCACAGAAGGAGUGCCAUAAAAGAGAUGCCGAUUGUUAUUUGUUUUCUUGCCCAGAGGCUCAUCAACGUCUUGGUACCUGUUGGUUUGGAAUAGGGAAAUGCUGUCUGCAGUGGGGAUGAGCUGAAGAACAGGGAGGACAAGGAGCCCAGAGAAUGAAAUAAAGGGCUGACUAUAACUCUUAAA